rnacentral:rRNA from 1 species
GACGAACGCUGGCGGCGUGCUUAACACAUGCAAGUCGAACGGAAAUGCCCUGCUUUUGUGGGGUGCUCGAGUGGCGAACGGGUGAGUAACACGUGAGUAACCUGCCCUUGACUUUGGGAUAACUUCAGGAAACUGGGGCUAAUACCGGAUAGGAGCUCCUGCUGCAUGGUGGGGGUUGGAAAGUUUCGGCGGUUGGGGAUGGACUCGCGGCUUAUCAGCUUGUUGGUGGGGUAGUGGCUUACCAAGGCUUUGACGGGUAGCCGGCCUGAGAGGGUGACCGGGCAAAUUGGGACUGAGAAACGGCCCAGAAUCCUACGGGAGGCAGCAGGGGGGAAUAUUGCAAAAUGGGCGGAAGCCUGAUGCAGAAACGCCGCGUGCGGGAUAACGGCCUUCGGGUUGUAAACCGCUUUCGCAUGUGACGAAGAGUGAGUGACGGUAAUGGGUAAAGAAGCACCGGCUAACUACGUG